CCCUUAGAUGUUCUGGGCCGCACGCGCGCUACACUGAUGCAUUCAACGAGUUUCUUCCUGGUCCGAGAGGAAUGGGUAACCUUUUGAAAGUGCAUCGUGAUAGGGAUAGACUAUUGCAAUUAUUGGUCUUCAACGAGGAAUUCCUAGUAGACGUAGUUCAUCAGACUGCAUCGAUUACGUCCCUGCCCUUUGUACACACCGCCCGUCGCUCCUACCGAUUGAAUGGUCCGGUGAGGCUUUGGGAUCUGAGCGGAAAGAGCGUUUCGCUGUUUCUGCUCGGAAAACUCAGUCGAACCUUAUCAUUUAGAGGAAGGAGAAGUCGUAACA
rnacentral:rRNA from 1 species